rnacentral:rRNA from 1 species
UGGGGAAUAUUGGACAAUGGGCGAAAGCCUGAUCCAGCAAUGCCGCGUGAGUGAUGAAGGCCUUAGGGUUGUAAAGCUCUUUUACCAGGGAUGAUAAUGACAGUACCUGGAGAAUAAGCUCCGGCUAACUCCGUGCCAGCAGCCGCGGUAAUACGGAGGGAGCUAGCGUUGUUCGGAAUUACUGGGCGUAAAGCGCACGUAGGCGGCUUUUCAAGUCAGGGGUGAAAUCCCGGGGCUCAACCCCGGAACUGCCCUUGAAACUGGAUNGCUAGAAUACUGGAGAGGUGAGUGGAAUUCCGAGUGUAGAGGUGAAAUUCGUAGAUAUUCGGAAGAACACCAGUGGCGAAGGCGACUCACUGGACAGUUAUUGACGCUGAGGUGCGAAAGCGUGGGGAGCAAACAGGAUUAGAUA